GCCUGGAUGGCUCAGUCAGUUAAGCAUCUGACUUGGGCUCAGGUCAUGAUCUCAGUGUCAUGAGAUCAAGUCCCAUGUCAGGCU
rnacentral:tRNA from 1 species